rnacentral:lncRNA from 10 species
CACGCCCCCAUUCUGUGCCUAUAAAAACCCCCGAGGCCCUAGCCGGCAGACACACAGGCGGCUGGAUGUCAAGAGGAGCACAACAGAGGAGGAACACAGAGGUGGCUAGACACAGAGAGUAACACACUGACGGCUGGACAUACGGAGUAAAACACCGACAGGCACGGGCACCCUGGCAGGCCACCGACCAUUAGAAAUAGAAUGACAUGGAGUUUAGCUGGGGCAGUCAGAGGAGAGCCCAGGCUGCUGAACGGCUCGACUCUAGGGGAAACCCUUCCCACUCCACCCCUUCUGACUUUCCGAGAGCUGCUUCCACCCAAUAAAACCUUGCAAUCAUUCUCCAAGCCCAGGUGUGAUCAGAUUCUUUCGGUACAUCAAGGAUCUCUCCCUGUGGUGCCUAGGUUGGUUUAAAACUCUUGGCCUCAAGCGAUCCUCCCACCUUGAAUUCCCAAAGCAAGAUGGGAUGCUGUAUUUUGCCUACUUACAGGAGAUGAGCAUGGCAGAAAUACUGGAAUGAAUGAGCAGUCUGCAUAAAAAGAGUGAUUAAGAGACAAUAUAAGAUGACUUCAUCUCUAUGAGCUACAAACAUAGGAAAAAAUUUUAGAAACUAUAAAAGAAAAUUCAGAAAAUAUGAAAGAAAAAGAUUUUUAAUUUUUUUUGGUGAGAGCAAAAACAUAGCACAUGAAGAUAUGGAGUUGAUUACAUCAUGUGUAGAAACAACCUUUAUAUAGG